CCUACGGGUGGCAGCAGUGGGGAAUAUUGCACAAUGGGGGAAAGCCUGAUGCAGCAACGCCGCGUGAGUGAUGAAGUAUUUCGGGAUGUAAAGCUCUAUCAUCAAGGAAUAUAAAAGAAGGUACCUGAAAAAGAAGCCCCGGCUAACUACGUGCCAGCAGCCGCGGUAAUACGUAGGGGGCAAGCGUUAUCCGGAUUUACUGGGUGUAAAGGGGUCGUAGACGGUUAUUUAAGUCAGAAGGGAAAGCGCAAGGAUCAACCCUGAGAAUGCCUUUGAAACUGGCAAACUUGAGUACGUGAGAGGUAAGAGGAAUUCCUAGUGUAGCGGUGAAAUGCGUAGAUAUUAGGAGGAACACCAGUUGCGAAGGCGGCUUACUGGACCGAAACUGACAUUGAGGCUCGAAAGCGUGGGGAGCAAACAGGAUUAGAUACCCUGGUAGUC
rnacentral:rRNA from 1 species